rnacentral:rRNA from 1 species
CCCUUAGAUGUUCUGGGCCGCACGCGCGCUACACUGACGAAUGCAACGAGCUUAUAACCUUGGCCGAAAGGUCUGGGUAAUCUCCAAAUUUCGUCGUGAUGGGGAUAGAUUAUUGCAAUUAUUAAUCUUCAACGAGGAAUGCCUAGUAAGCGCAAGUCAUCAGCUUGCGUUGAUUACGUCCCUGCCCUUUGUACACACCGCCCGUCGCUCCUACCGAUUGAAUGGUCCGGUGAAGCGUUCGGACCGUGGCCUUUGGACGGUUCGCCGUCUAUUGGCUGCGGGAAGUUCGUUAAACCUUAUCAUUUAGAGGAAGGAGAANUCGUANCA